AAUCGUCUUCGGGGUCGGGUGAAAUUCCCAAUCGACGGUGAUGCGCGUUAGAGCGAUAAGUCCGUGAGCUUUUUGAAGCAGGAACUGGUGAGAAUCCAGUGCCGACAGUAUAGUCUGGAUGGGAGAAGACAUGU
rnacentral:ncRNA from 2 species